GAUGAACGCUGGCGGCGUGCCUAAUACAUGCAAGUCGAGCGAACGGACGAGAAGCUUGCUUCUCUGAUGUUAGCGGCGGACGGGUGAGUAACACGUGGAUAACCUACCUAUAAGACUGGGAUAACUUCGGGAAACCGGAGCUAAUACCGGAUAAUAUUUUGAACCGCAUGGUUCAAAAGUGAAAGACGGUCUUGCUGUCACUUCUAGAUGGAUCCGCGCUGCAUUAGCUAGUUGGUAAGGUAACGGCUUACCAAGGCAACGAUGCAUAGCCGACCUGAGAGGGUGAUCGGCCACACUGGAACUGAGACACGGUCCAGACUCCUACGGGAGGCAGCAGAAGGGAAUCUUCCGCAGUGGGCGAAAGCCUGACGGAGCAACGCCGCGUGAGUGAUGAAGGUCUUCGGAUCGUAAAACUCUGUUAUUAGGGAAGAACAUAUGUGUAAGUAACUGUGCACAUCUUGACGGUACCUAAUCAGAAAGCCACGGCUAACUACGUG
rnacentral:rRNA from 1 species